rnacentral:rRNA from 1 species
AACGUAGGACGCAAGCGUUAUCCGGAGUUACUGGGCGUAAAGCGCGUGCAGGCGGCUCGCCACGUCUGAUGUGAAAUCUCCUCGCUCAACGGGGAGAGGCCAUUGGAAACGGUCGAGCUGGAGGGCAGUAGAGGUAGGCGGAAUUCCGGGUGGAGUGGUGAAAUGCGUAGAGAUCGGCAGGAACACCCAGGGGGAAACCAGCCGACUGGGCAUCUGCUGACGCUGAGGUGCGAGAGCGUGGGGAGCGAACCGG